CCUGAAGAGAUGGAGCAGCCCCAGCCCCUGCAGGAAGAUCCAGGCCAGGACCGGACACAAGAACAGGACCGUGCCCGUGGCCGCUUCCGCAGGGCAGUACAGGACUUUCUGACAUCCUGGAGGCGUAGAGGGGCCAGGAUCACACCAGCUGUGGUCGUGGC